rnacentral:lncRNA from 1 species
CCUUUUAUAACCACUUUUCACAAAACACUGCCCAAAAUGACCAUGUGCAGGAACAAUGCCCAAAAUAACCACUGAAACACGCAUUCACCAUAUGCGUGUGUAGUGAACAAAAAAAAAGCAAAGAAUACGCAUUCUCCAUAUGCGUAUAUGUUGUUGACUCAGCACAUUCACGCAUGUGGAGAAUGCGUAUACCACCACUGUGCAUAGUGCAUGCGCAUUCUCCACAUGCGUGUUCUUUAUAUUAUUUUUUUAAAAGCGCACACGCAUAUGUGAGAUGCGUGUUUGAGUGAGUAAAAUGGGCACCUUUCCCGCAGACGGUCAUUUUGGGCACUUGACCCCUGAAAAAGUGUUAUUUUUGGCAUUUUCUC